rnacentral:rRNA from 1 species
CCAGACUCCUACGGGAGGCAGCAGUGGGGAAUAUUGGGCAAUGGGCGCAAGCCUGACCCAGCAACGCCGCGUGGAGGAAGAAGGCUUUCGGGUUGUAAACUUCUUUUGACAGGGAAGAGCAGAAGACGGUACCUGUCGAAUAAGCCACGGCUAACUACGUGCCAGCAGCCGCGGUAAUACGUAGGUGGCAAGCGUUGUCCGGAUUUACUGGGUGUAAAGGGCGUGUAGCCGGGCUUACAAGUCAGAUGUGAAGUCCGGGGGCUCAACCCCCGAACUGCAUUUGAAACUGUAGGUCUUGAGUAUCGGAGAGGCAGGCGGAAUUCCUAGUGUAGCGGUGAAAUGCGUAGAUAUUAGGAGGAACACCAGUGGCGAAGACGGCCUGCUGGACGACAACUGACGGUGAGGCGCGAAAGCGUGGGGAGCAAACAGGAUUAGAUACCCGCGUAC